AACGAACGCUGGCGGCGCGCCUAACACAUGCAAGUCGAACGAGAAGGCGUAGCAAUACGCUUGUAAAGUGGCGAACGGGUGAGGAAUACGUGGGUAACCUACCCUCGAGUGGGGAAUAACCAACCGAAAGGUUGGCUAAUGCCGCGUACGCUUCCAUCUUUUCGGAGGUGGAAGGAAAGCUGUACCGUGGGUACAGCGCUCAAGGAUGGGCUCACGUCCUAUCAGCUUGUUGGUAGGGUAACGGCCACCAAGGCAACGACGGGUAGCUGGUCUGAGAGGACGAUCAGCCACACUGGCACUGCGACACGGGCCAGACUCCUACGGGAGGCAGCAGUGAGGAAUAUUGCGCAAUGGGCGAAAGCCUGACGCAGCGACGCCGCGUGGGGGAUGAAGGUCUUCGGAUUGUAAA
rnacentral:rRNA from 1 species